AGAGUUUGAUCCUGGCUCAGGAUGAACGCUGGCGGCGUGCCUAAUACAUGCAAGUCGAACGGGGUAGCAAUACUCAGUGGCGACCGGGUGAGUAACACGUAGCCGAUCUGCCUUCUCGCGGGGGAUAACGUUCCGAAAGGAACGCUAAUACCGCAUAAUGUCAAGACCUUUAGAGAGUUUUGACUAAACUUCCGGGGCGAGAAGAGGAGGCUGCGGCCCAUCAGGUAGUUGGUGAGGUAACGGCUCACCAAGCCAACGACGGGUAGGGGGUCUGAGAGGACUAACCCCCACACUGGAACAGACAUACGGGCCAGACUCCUACGGGAGGCAGCAGUAAGGGAUAUUGCACAAUGGGCGAAAGCCUGAUGCAGCAACGCCGCGUGGAGGAAGAAGGAUUUCGGUCUGUAAACUCCUUUUACGAGGGACGAGAUAGGACGGUACCUCGUGAAUAAGUCACGGCUAACUACGUGCCAGCAGCCGCGGUAAUAC
rnacentral:rRNA from 1 species